UGUAAGCGUAUACCAAAGUUGUUGCAGUUAAAACGCUCGUAGUCGUAGCUUGGCGAUUCCGGGUGUGAGCACGUCGUGUGCACGCGCUGCGGGGAUUGCUUUUGUGGGUUUGCGUAAGAUGAGGCUCUUUCAUUAGUGAACGUCUUCACGCAUCCACUGUUUACUGUGAGAAAAUCAGAGUGCUCAAAGCAGGCAGUUGCCGUGAAUGUAUUAGCAUGGAAUAAUAGAAUAAAUUCUUAGAUUGCCGAAAGACAAACUGCUGCGAAAGCGUCUGUCAAGGAUGUUUUCAUUGA
rnacentral:rRNA from 1 species